AAUACGCUCUAAUAGGACUUAAUUUUUCAUCUGCCAAAGCGUCUGUUCUCUGCAAAGAUUCACCAUUUCAACUCAGGUGAGUUCCAAGGCAGCAGCAUUAGAACUAAGCAAUACACAUGGAUCUAUCGCGAUUAAAAAAAUAUUCUUCACCUCAGAGUUCCUCUAAGGAGGUUGCUACCACGGCUCAUAAACUUCCAGAAGCGCUUUUUAGGCAGAAGGCGGCAAAAAAAGAAGAAGGAGAGGAGCUGCGGUGGCCCCGGGGAGGUGCGCGGCCGGCGGGGCUGCCCUCAGGGGCGGCCCCGGCCCCGCCCCGGGGCGAGCCGCUCGCUUCGGAGGGGCACCGGAGCGGCGGCGGCACCCCUCCCCUCCGGGAAAACGCGGCCGCGGUGAGGUGAGGGGAGGUGGGUGAGUCGCGGCGUUGCGACCCUCCUCCCUUUCCGCCGCCCCCGAGCCGCCCAGCCCCCGGACAAACCGGGCACCGCUAACCUGCAUCGCCACCUCCCCUCCGCCUUCGAAGGAGCCGGCCCCGCCGCCGCCGCCGCCCCGGUGACCCGGCCCGGCCCGCCUGAGGGGAAGGGGCGCCGCGGGGCCUCGCGCUCCCAACGGAAUUUCCCGCCAACCGCCCGCCCUCUCCCUCAGCCCUUCCCCGCGGCUCUGCGGGCAUUUCUUCAGCUGGGAGUGGGCUCGCUUCUUCUUCUUCUUCGCAGGCAGCUGGCUUGGUUCAUUAAAAGCGUCACCCAUAUCUGUCCCCCAUGCGGUACUGAACUUGCGUGGGGUUUUUUUCAGUCAUGGCUUUCUUAAGGGACUGAAAAUACCUCAGAAUUGACUGUGGGAAAUGUACUGCCUUCGAUUUAAAAAUGAAGGCCCUGUGAUAAUAGCCAGGACAGAACAAGCUCCACCUGCCUGCCUGAGUCACCAGAAAUGUGGAGAUUUACCGUCCAGCAUGUUCUGCCGUCUGCCAAGACAGCGAGGUUAAAAAAUGCCAGCCAAGUCAUCUUAGAAAGUGUAGCAAUUCUAGCAAGGGGUGUGUUGCUCCUAUGUUUUUGCACCGCCCAGUGUUUUCCAGGGGCAUUACUGCAUGGACUUCUUUUUUCCACAGCUGAUAAAGAACUUGGUUUUGUUAGAAAUCCAUGAACAAUGGACUGCAGACAUCAUAUUGUAAAGUGUUUGGGGGUUGUUUUGGUUUUUUUUUGCUUUUUUCUGCCUUUACCAAUACCUACUGACCUACUGACCUUGAACAAACCCAUACUGGUUGAAGUCCUGAUUCUGCUUGCUGCACUUAAUGGGUAUAGAGAGCUAUGCUCCCAGCUGGCUCUCCAUAAAACAUACUCUGCAGACAGGAAAAUUCUGCAAUUCCACUCUUACAGCGUUUUUGAAGGAUUAACAGACCGGUUUCCUGUUUUGCAUAGGAACCUGCGUACAUACGCUUUCUCUCCAAAAGACUUCAGUUUAUUUGUUACAAAUUUCUAUUUUGAGUAGCCUGAAGAUCCUUAAUGAAUUGUUGAAACAGUACUGUAGAAACAGUUUCAA